rnacentral:lncRNA from 1 species
CACCAGCAGGAACAGCCUGCAGGGGCUCCUGGGCCAGUCGGUGCCUGUCAGGCUCUGUUACCAAGGAGCUGCAGGGGUUUGUGCAGGUGUCCCAAGCCUGUGCCUAAAUUCUCUUCAUGGAGUCGGGCUCUGUGAGCCGUCUGCUGCCUUCCCUGUUUCAUGCGACUGCUUCACUGGAUCCUUCCCCGAAGUGCUUCUUCCUUUGAAGGAUCCUGAGAGAAAACAGCAACAUGCUGGACUAAAGAAAGUAACUGUAGGCCUGAACCCCAGCCAACAGUGGCCUUUUAAUAAAUAAAGAGCAGCCAUGCGGGUUGUGGCUUCGGAGAA